rnacentral:rRNA from 1 species
CUACGGGUCGCUCCAGUGAGGAAUUUUGCGCAAUGGGGGGAACCCUGACGCAGCAACGCCGCGUGAGUGAAGAAGGCCUUUGGGUCGUAAAGCUCUGUCAACUGGGAAGAAAUUAGAGUUGUUUAACAGAUGAUUCUAUUGACGGUACCAGUGGAGGAAGCGCCGGCUAACUCCGUGCCAGCAGCCGCGGUAACACGGGGGGCGCAAGCGUUAUUCGGAAUUAUUGGGCGUAAAGGGCGCGCAGGCGGUCUUGUCGGUCAGGUGUGAAAGCCCGGGGCUCAACCCUGGAAGUGCACUUGAAACAGCAAGACUUGAAUACGGGAGAGGAAAGCGGAAUUCCUGGUGUAGAGGUGAAAUUCGUAGAUAUCAGGAGGAACACCGAUGGCGAAGGCAGCUUUCUGGACCGAUACUGACGCUGAGGCGCGAAGGCGUGGGUAGCGAACGGGAUUAGAUACCCGGGUAGUC